AACGCUGGCGGCAUGCCUUACACAUGCAAGUCGAACGGCAGCACGGGAGCAAUCCUGGUGGCGAGUGGCGAACGGGUGAGUAACAUAUCGGAACGUGCCCAGUAAUGGGGGAUAGCCCGGCGAAAGCCGGAUUAAUACCGCAUACGACCUUAGGGUGAAAGCGGGGGACUCGCAAGGGCCUCGCGUUAUUGGAGCGGCCGAUAUCAGAUUAGCUAGUUGGUGGGGUAAAGGCUUACCAAGGCGACGAUCUGUAGCUGGUCUGAGAGGACGACCAGCCACACUGGGACUGAGACACGGCCCAGACUCCUACGGGAGGCAGCAGUGGGGAAUUUUGGACAAUGGGCGCAAGCCUGAUCCAGCCAUGCCGCGUGUGGGAAGAAGGCCUUCGGGUUGUAAACCACUUUUGUCAGGGAAGAAACGGUUUGGGUUAAUAACCUGGGCUAAUGACGGUACCUGAAGAAUAAGCACCGGCUAACUACGUGCCAGCAGCCGCGGUAGUACGUAGGGUGCAAGCGUUAAUCGGAAUUACUGGGCGUAAAGCGUGCGCAGGCGGCUUUGCAAGACAGAUGUGAAAUCCCCGGGCUCAACCUGGGAACUGCAUUUGUGACUGCAUGGCUAGAGUACGGUAGAGGGGGAUGGAAUUCCGCGUGUAGCAGUGAAAUGCGUAGAUAUGCGGAGGAACACCGAUGGCGAAGGCAAUCCCCUGGACCUGUACUGACGCUCAUGCACGAAAGUGUGGGGAGCAAACAGGAUUAGAUACCCUGGUAGUCCACGCCCUAAACGAUGUCAACUGGUUGUUGGACGGCUUGCUGUUCAGUAACGAAGCUAA
rnacentral:rRNA from 1 species